CGGUGUUUAACUGGCGUGAUGUGGGACGUCCUACCGGUGGGCUUAGCCUCGCGAGGGGCGGCCCAACUAAUAUCCCGUCGCGGUGCUCUUUACUGAGUGUCGAGUCGGGCCGGUACGUUUACUUUGAACAAAUUAGAGUGCUUAAAGCAGGCUAUCCUCGCCUGAAUACUGCGUGCAUGGAAUAAUGGAAUAGGACCUCGGUUCUAUUUUGUUGGUUUUCGGAACCCCGAGGUAAUGAUUAAUAGGGACAGAUGGGGGCAUUCGUAUUGCGACGUUAGAGGUGAAAUUCUUGGAUCGUCGCAAGACGGACAGAAGCGAAAGCAUUUGCCAAAAAUGUUUUCAUUAAUCAGGAACGAAAGUUAGAGGUUCGAAGGCGAUCAGAUACCGCCCUAGUUCUAACCAUAAACGAUGCCAGCUAGCGAUCCGCCGAAGUUCCUCCGAUGACUCGGCGGGCAGCUUCCGGGAAACCAAAGCUUUUGGGUUCCGGGGGAAGUAUGGUUGCAAAGCUGAAACUUAAAGGAAUUGACGGAAGGGCACCACCAGGAGUGGAGCCUGCGGCUUAAUUUGACUCAACACGGGAAACCUCACCAGGCCCAGACACCGGAAGGAUUGACAGAUUGAUAGCUCUUUCUUGAUUCGGUGGGUGGUGGUGCAUGGCCGUUCUUAGUUGGUGGAGCGAUUUGUCUGGUUAAUUCCGAUAACGAACGAGACUCUAGCCUGCUAAAUAGGCGUACCUUAUGGUAUCGCGAAGGCCCCCGGCUUCGGCCGGUGGGUUUUUACUACCAACGUACAAACAAAUCUUCUUAGAGGGACAGGCGG
rnacentral:rRNA from 1 species